rnacentral:rRNA from 1 species
UACAGGGGGUGCGAGCGUUGUUCGGAAUUACUGGGCGUAAAGGGCGCGUAGGCGGCCUUGCAAGUCAGACGUGAAAGCCCCGGGCUUAACCCGGGAAGUGCGUUUGAAACUGCUAGGCUAGGGUACAAUAGAGGUUAGUGGAAUUCCCAGUGUAGAAGUGAAAUUCGUAGAUAUUGGGAGGAACACCAGUGGCGAAGGCGGCUAACUGGGUUGUAACUGACGCUGAGGCGCGAAAGCAUGGGGAUCAAACAGG